GAUGAACGCUGGCGGCGUGCCUAAUACAUGCAAGUCGAGCGAACAGACGAGGAGCUUGCUCCUCUGACGUUAGCGGCGGACGGGUGAGUAACACGUGGAUAACCUACCUAUAAGACUGGGAUAACUUCGGGAAACCGGAGCUAAUACCGGAUAAUAUAUUGAACCGCAUGGUUCAAUAGUGAAAGACGGUUUUGCUGUCACUUAUAGAUGGAUCCGCGCCGCAUUAGCUAGUUGGUAAGGUAACGGCUUACCAAGGCAACGAUGCGUAGCCGACCUGAGAGGGUGAUCGGCCACACUGGAACUUGGACACGGUCCAGACUCCUACGGGAGGCAGCAGUAGGGAAUCUUCCGCAAUGGGCGAAAGCCUGACGGAGCAACGCCGCGUGAGUGAUGAAGGUCUUCGGAUCGUAAAGCUCUGUUAUUAGGGAAGAACAAAUGUGUAAGUAACUAUGCACGUCUUGACGGUACCUAAUCAGAAAGCCACGGCUAACUACGUG
rnacentral:rRNA from 1 species